CCAUAGGUUUAGGGCACUGGAAGGUCCCUAAACCGAAAGGGGCUCUGCCCGCCCGAGGAUGGGCCGGCGGCCGAUUAGGUAGUUGGUGGGGUAACGGCCCACCAAGCCCAUAAUCGGUACGGGCAGUGAGAGCUGGAGCCCGGAGAUGGACACUGAGACACGGGUCCAGGCCCUACGGGGCGCAGCAGGCGCGAAACCUCCGCAAUGCUCGAAAGAGCGACGGGGGGACCCCAAGUGCCGUGGUACAACCACGGCUUUUCCGGAGUGUAAGAAGCUCCGGGAAUAAGGGCUGGGCAAGGCCGGUGGCAGCCGCCGCGGUAAUACCGGCGGCCCGAGUGGUGGCCACUAUUAUUGGGCCUAAAGCGUCCGUAGCCGGGCUUGUAAGUCCCUGGCGAAAUCCCACGGCUCAACCGUGGGGCUUGCUGGGGAUACUGCAAGCCUUGGGACCGGGAGAGGCCGGGGGUACUCCUGGGGUAGGGGUGAAAUCCUAUAAUCCCAGGAGGACCGCCAGUGGCGAAGGCGCCCGGCUGGAACGGGUCCGACGGUGAGGGACGAAGGCCAGGGGAGCAAACCGGAUUAGAUACCCGGGUAGUCCUGGCUGUAAAGGAUGCGGGCUAGGUGUUGCUUGGACCUCGAGUCCAAGCAGUGCCG
rnacentral:rRNA from 1 species